rnacentral:misc_RNA from 1 species
AAGUCGUAACAAGGUUUCCGUAGGUGAACCUGCGGAAGGAUCAUUACUACGUUUCUAAACAAACGUUUUAAACUCCAAAAUUUUAAUAGUGGAAAAUAUAACUUCCGGAUGCAUUUGUAGGAGGGGAGAUCAGACCUUAAAUAGUCUGUUUUUCUCUUUUGAAAAGGAGACUUCAUACACUUCUUGUGAGUGUGUGACACUUCAGAGUAGAGCAGUGAGGUGAAAACUUCGGUUUUGGUUUCUGAAAUACAUCUGUAUCCGGUUAUUCUCUGUUCUACAACCCUUUUAUUAAACAAUAAACCCCAUGUACAACAACUUGAACUAAACAAAUUUUGUUUUCUCUUUGAGGAAAUGAAGUAAAUCUGAACUUAAGAACAACUCUUAACAACGGAUAUCUUGGUUCUC